rnacentral:rRNA from 1 species
CAGGACGAACGCUGGCGGCGUGCCUAAUACAUGCAAGUCGAGCGGACAGAAGGGAGCUUGCUCCCGGAUGUUAGCGGCGGACGGGUGAGUAACACGUGGGUAACCUGCCUGUAAGACUGGGAUAACUCCGGGAAACCGGAGCUAAUACCGGAUAGUUCCUUGAACCGCAUGGUUCAAGGAUGAAAGACGGUUUCGGCUGUCACUUACAGAUGGACCCGCGGCGCAUUAGCUAGUUGGUGGGGUAAUGGCUCACCAAGGCGACGAUGCGUAGCCGACCUGAGAGGGUGAUCGGCCACACUGGGACUGAGACACGGCCCAGACUCCUACGGGAGGCAGCAGUAGGGAAUCUUCCGCAAUGGACGAAAGUCUGACGGAGCAACGCCGCGUGAGUGAUGAAGGUUUUCGGAUCGUAAAGCUCUGUUGUUAGGGAAGAACAAGUGCGAGAGUAACUGCUCGCACCUUGACGGUACCUAACCAGAAAGCCACGGCUAACUACGUGCCAGCAGCCGCGGUAAUACGUAGGUGGCAAGCGUUGUCCGGAAUUAUUGGGCGUAAAGGGCUCGCAGGCGGUUUCUUAAGUCUGAUGUGAAAGCCCCCGGCUCAACCGGGGAGGGUCAUUGGAAACUGGGAAACUUGAGUGCAGAAGAGGAGAGUGGAAUUCCACGUGUAGCGGUGAAAUGCGUAGAGAUGUGGAGGAACACCAGUGGCGAAGGCGACUCUCUGGUCUGUAACUGACGCUGAGGAGCGAAAGCGUGGGGAGCGAACAGGAUUAGAUACCCUGGUAGUCCACGCCGUAAACGAUGAGUGCUAAGUGUUAGGGGGUUUCCGCCCCUUAGUGCUGCAGCUAACGCAUUAAGCACUCCGCCUGGGGAGUACGGUCGCAAGACUGAAACUCAAAGGAAUUGACGGGGGCCCGCACAAGCGGUGGAGCAUGUGGUUUAAUUCGAAGCAACGCGAAGAACCUUACCAGGUCUUGACAUCCUCUGACAACCCUAGAGAUAGGGCUUUCCCUUCGGGGACAGAGUGACAGGUGGUGCAUGGUUGUCGUCAGCUCGUGUCGUGAGAUGUUGGGUUAAGUCCCGCAACGAGCGCAACCCUUGAUCUUAGUUGCCAGCAUUCAGUUGGGCACUCUAAGGUGACUGCCGGUGACAAACCGGAGGAAGGUGGGGAUGACGUCAAAUCAUCAUGCCCCUUAUGACCUGGGCUACACACGUGCUACAAUGGACAGAACAAAGGGCUGCAAGACCGCAAGGUUUAGCCAAUCCCAUAAAUCUGUUCUCAGUUCGGAUCGCAGUCUGCAACUCGACUGCGUGAAGCUGGAAUCGCUAGUAAUCGCGGAUC